rnacentral:rRNA from 1 species
UAGUGACAAUAGCGGAGAGGAAACACCCGUUCCCAUCCCGAACACGGAAGUUAAGCUCUCCAGCGCCGAUGGUAGUUGGGGCCAGCGCCCCUGCAAGAGUAGGUCGUUGCUA